GCGUUCUUAGCUCAGUCGGUAGAGCAUCAGAGUUUUAAUGUGAGGGUCGCGGGUUAUGGUCUCGCAAAAGGCG
rnacentral:tRNA from 1 species